AACGCCAAGAACCUUACCUGGUCUUGACAUCCGCGGAAGUUUUCAGAGAUAAGAAUGUGCCUUCGGGAACCGUGAGACAGGUGCUGCAUGGCUGUCGUCAGCUCGUGUUGUGAAAUGUUGGGUUAAGUCCCGCAACGAGCGCAACCCUUAUCCUUUGUUGCCAGCGGUCCGGCCGGGAACUCAAAGGAGACUGCCAGUGAUAAACUGGAGGAAGGUGGGGAUGACGUCAAGUCAUCAAGGCCCUUACGACCAGGGCUACACACGUGCUACAAUGGCGCAUACAAAGAGAAGCGACCUCGCGAGAGCAAGCGGACCUCAUAAAGUGCGUCGUAGUCCGGAUUGGAGUCUGCAACUCGACUCCAUGAAGUCGGAAUCGCUAGUAAUCGUGGAUCAGAAUGCCACGGUGAAUACGUUCCCGGGCCUUGUACACACC
rnacentral:rRNA from 1 species